rnacentral:ribozyme from 13 species
CGAAAAAAUGGAAAAAGGAUGGACGCUUUGUUUUCUCGGUCACAUAACGAACCGUUCCCUUGUUCUUUCCUUUCUUUGCUCGCUGUUUUUUUUGCUUUUCUUCAAAUGCCAAAUUUUGACCUUUCUUCCAUUGAAUCUCGGUACCAAGAACCUUCUCGAGAAUCGGUUCUUCGCUCGAUAAUAGAGUUCCGACCUCGUAAGUCUUCGUUAAGCAUUUAUUAUCAAAAUAAGGAUUUUCUGCGAAAAAAAACUCUAAAGUGAAACCAUCCAUCUUAUCGU